rnacentral:lncRNA from 1 species
ACUACAUUUCUCAAAAGCGAUUUCGCUACCCGAAAUUUGUUAGGGAAGUAUUUAGUCAUUAAAUGGCUAACAUAACUAGAAUUGUAACCAUAGUCCGAUAAACUAUCAACACAGUUAAACCCAGUUAUCAAACAAAAAUCCCUCAAAGAAAAAAUCAAUUUUGUCCAUUUAAAAGAACAGAAAAAUAGUCGCCAGUAGACUUUGAUAAUUCAUACUCAUUAGAAGAUGAAUUGAUUGGUUCUG